UACGAAGGUGGCCAGCGUUGUUCGGAUUUACUGGGCGUAAAGCGCAUGUAGGCGGGUCGUUAAGUUGGGGGUGAAAUCCCGAGGCUCAACCUCGGAACUGCCUUCAAAACUGGCGACCUGGAGUAAGAUAGAGGCAAGUGGAAUUGCGAGUGUAGAGGUGAAAUUCGUAGAUAUUCGCAGGAACACCAGUGGCGAAGGAGACUUGCUGGACCUUUGCUGACGAUGAGAUGCGACAGCGUGGGGAGCAAACAGG
rnacentral:rRNA from 1 species